AGGAGGAGGAAAAAUAGUGAUGCAUAUAGAAGAGGAAACAGAGAUAGGGUAAUGAAAUGAGCCAGAGAGAGAGGCAUGUGGGAGAGACAGGCAGAGAGAUAACUACAGACAAUUGUCCAUCUUCAAAAGAACGACAAAGGAUAUGGUUAAAAGACCUCUUCUCCAAGACCAGAUCCCUGAGAUGGAUUCACCAUAGGAAUACUACUAUCAAUUUUUAUUUUGCUUUUUCAUGACCUGUUUUAAGGAAUA